rnacentral:rRNA from 1 species
UACGUAGGGUGCAAGCGUUGUCCGGAAUUAUUGGGCGUAAAGAGCUCGUAGGCGGUUUGUCGCGUCGAAUGUGAAAACCCGGGGCUCAACCCCGGGCCUGCAUUCGAUACGGGCAGACUAGAGUGAGUAGGGGAGAUGGAAUUCCGUGUGAGCGGUGAAUGCGCAGAUAUCGGGAGGAACACCGGUGGCGAAGGCGGUUCUCUGGGCCUUACCUGACGCUGAGGAGCGAAAGCGUGGGGAGCGAACAGG